AAUGGUAAUAAACUAAAUUGAGGAUGUCCACAACAUUAGUAUGGUAAGUGACCUCGCGUGUUACCUUUUUGUUUUUCUGAAACUCUCGCAGGGUUGCCAGGUUUUCACAACACUCAAUUGCUACACAAAAGUCACUAGCCUUAUGGCGCUUUGAAGGGGAGAAAGUACAAGAUUUUUGGCGAGGUUACCCUGGUAAAUAUUGCAGGAGCUAAAUAUCACGAUACGUCUUGGCAACAUUUCGUCUGUCUGAGAAGAGAUUUGAGAUCUCUGAGUCGGCUCCUAAAGAAUCCCACUCUUAUUGUAAGCAAAGUGAGUUUAACCACAGGUUAACCCCCAAUUUUCAUACAGGAAAGAUCAAUGACAUUUUUAGUAAUAUUCUUGUUCUUGGUACUGUUUUUAAUCCACUGAAACAUGAUGUUUUAUUUUAAUAAAAUAUCUGCUUCACCACUGGUAUGUUUGUGUGUUAUUAACCUGUUUCACUUCCUCUCACAGCAUCUGUGGUUGAUCCCAGGUUCUUGAAGAAGGUUUUUGUACUGGUCUUAAUCACUGUGUGAAUCUAUAACCACCUAAGUCACCGAAGCAAUAAUACUCUCCACUGUCUUCAUUCUGAGCUCCACUGAUGACCAGCUGGAAAUCUUUAUCAGAUCCACUUCCACUAAAUCGAGAUGGGAUGGAAGAAUAUCGGAUAUGUCCUUGAUAGAUGAGGAGUUUAGGAGCAUCUCCCGGUUUCUUGAGAGUGAAGUCAGUGUGAGCGCCAUUGCCGCUGAAUCUAGAUGGGAUGUUUGAGGGGCGCUGGUGUAUGUAAUAAAUGAGGAGUUUGGGAGCCUCUCCAGGUUUGUGCUGGUACCAGAACAUGCAGUUCCUCCAGAGAGUACAGUCAGCAACCGAAGAUGUCAGAGGUGACUGAGGGCUGAAGAAAGUGAACAGAAUGGGUUAUUCAGCUGCAAUAAAAUUCCUGUCUGCAGAAUAACACAUGACAAGAUCCCAUAAGCCAGGCAAUCCUGAUGCUUCCCAGUAGGUCCUGCUCUCUCCUGGGAAUGAAGCCAUAUCUGAGUCCCCUAUGACAGGUUUACCGCAGUCAGUCAACAGUCUACACCUUCUCACAGAGCUUCAACACACUAAAGACCAGAUCUGAAUUCCCUCGUUCAAGGCUGUUUCUGGCUAUUUUAAUGCCAUAGCUGGACUGUUUCCUUGGUUGGCGUCUCCUUAACAGGCAACAGCCUAGUUUGGCUAGAAUUGGCCCUGUCUGGGGUGAAAAUCUUCAUUAAAAUCUUCUAAUCUUCCACAGCCAGUGCACUUCUUGCAUUGGCAUUUUGCUUGACAUCCAAAACUUACAGAACUGCAGCUCUGAGCAGUUAAUGCUAAAUACCAAAUUGCCUCUUUGUCUCCGUAGCUGUGCUUUAGACAUUAAAAUAAGUGAGGAAUAUCGAUUACGCUGUCGCUCGUGUGAAGGGGGACAGGUCCUUUCCUGACUAAUUUGUAGGAAAAUGCACCUUGUGGCUCCUCCCUUGACACAGUGUUUAUUCAGCAGAAAUAAUUGGUAAUAGCGGAAAGGUAACGUGAGCAGAAUGAUCAUAUUUCUGCCUGUGCUGGUAACAUCUCAUGCAUUUUUAUGCAGUACAGCAGCAGUAUUAGAACCGAUAAUGUUCAGUAAUUAAAGCUUCAUGAAUGGGUGAAAUGGAGCCUGUACUGAAACUCAUUGCUUAUUUUGUAUAUGCAGUGGUGCUCAUUUCAGCUGGCGGACCAUUAAAAAAAAAAAAAAAAAACCUUGAGGACCACUGAACAACCCAAAUCUCCUUUGUUAAUAUUGUUUUUUCCAUUCAUCAAGAAUCUUGAAGAAUAUAAUGGUUUCCACAAAAAUAUGGAGAAGCACAACUGUUUUCAACAUUGAUGACAAUAAACAUUGAACAGCAAUCAGAA